rnacentral:rRNA from 1 species
UACGGAGGGUGCAAGCGUUAUCCGGAUUCACUGGGUUUAAAGGGUGCGUAGGUGGGUUGAUAAGUCAGUGGUGAAAUCCCCGAGCUUAACUUGGGAACUGCCAUUGAUACUUUCGAUCUUGAAUACCGUGGAGGUCAGCGGAAUAUGUCAUGUAGCGGUGAAAUGCUUAGAUAUGACAUAGAACACCAAUUGCGAAGGCAGCUGGCUACGCGAAUAUUGACACUGAUGCACGAAAGCGUGGGGAUCAAACAGG